rnacentral:lncRNA from 1 species
UAGACAAAAAUUAGAGUCAAAAAUCGAGAAAAAUAUUCUAAAAAAAUAAAAUUUAUAACCUUCGAUGCAUGGUGGAUUGGUCGCUUGGUCCACAGAAGCAAUGGUGCGGUCCACCGAAACAGGUUCGUGGUCCAUGAUGUGGCUCACGAGCGAGGUGGAAGAAAUCUACAUGAUCUGAUGGCUUAUAUCAAUUUCGCACCAGAUCUGAUGGCUGACAUCAUUUCUAACUUUGAAUAGGAUUUCUAGGCAUGAUCAGACGGUCGAAAUCCCAUCUGAAGCACGAUCCAACGGCUGGUAUUCAUCCUGACUAUGUUAAGAAAAUAAAAGGCAUUGAUCAAUGAUCGAAAAUUCAUUUGGGGU